rnacentral:rRNA from 1 species
CCUACGGGAGGCAGCAGUGGGGAAUUUUGGACAAUGGGCGCAAGCCUGAUCCAGCAAUGCCGCGUGAGUGAAGAAGGCCUUCGGGUUGUAAAGCUCUUUUGUCAGGGAAGAAACGGUGGGGGCUAAUAUCCCUCGCUAAUGACGGUACCUGAAGAAUAAGCACCGGCUAACUACGUGCCAGCAGCCGCGGUAAUACGUAGGGUGCAAGCGUUAAUCGGAAUUACUGGGCGUAAAGCGUGCGCAGGCGGUUUUGUAAGUCUGUCGUGAAAGCCCCGGGCUCAACCUGGGAAUUGCGAUGGAGACUGCAAGGCUUGAAUCUGGCAGAGGGGGGUAGAAUUCCACGUGUAGCAGUGAAAUGCGUAGAGAUGUGGAGGAACACCGAUGGCGAAGGCAGCCCCCUGGGUCAAGAUUGACGCUCAUGCACGAAAGCGUGGGGAGCAAACAGGAUUAGAUACCCUGGUAGUCCACGCCCUAAACGAUGUCUACUAGUUGUCGGGUUUUAAUUAACUUGGUAACGCAGCUAACGCGUGAAGUAGACCGCCUGGGGAUACGGUCGCAAGAUUAAAACUCAAAGGAAUUGACGGNGUAGAGACGNGCGACGACGACGACGAGGAGAG